AACGAACGCUGGCGGCAGGCCUAACACAUGCAAGUCGAACGAGAAGCCACCUUCGGGUGGUGGACAGUGGCAGACGGGUGAGUAACGCGUGGGAACGUGCCUUUCGGUUCGGGAUAACCCAGGGAAACUUGGGCUAAUACCGGAUACGCCCUUCGGGGGAAAGGUUCAUUGCCGAAAGAUCGGCCCGCGUCGGAUUAGCUAGUUGGUGGGGUAAAAGCCUACCAAGGCGACGGUCCGUAGCUGGUCUGUGAGGAUGACCAGCCACACCGGGACGGAGGCACGGCCCGUGGGGCUGCGUGGGGCGGGAGUGGGGAAUAGUGGACGAUGGGCGGAAGCCUAAUGCAGCCAUGGCGAGGGGGGGGAGAAGGACUUAGGAUCGUAAAACCCUAGCGGCGGGGAAGAUGAUGUCGGUACCCGCAGAAGAAGUCCCGGCUAACUCCGUGCCAGGAGCCGCCGCAG
rnacentral:rRNA from 1 species